CCUGUGCAGUAUCAGUAUACUGUACAGAUUCAGCAAUAGAAGGGGAGAGGGAGGCAAUCAACCAGGAAAUCACCAUAUUGUUGCACCUAUCCCACAACCUCUGUUGAGUAACAUUGGUAGUAGGACGGGCAUAGGUGCCAUCAACAAAGCUGAUUUUAUUUUUUGCCGACAAGGCAACAAGAAUUUUUCGUCUCCAACCCCCAUAACCAGUACCCGAGAAUGGGAUGGGAACAAGUGGUACCCCAGGGAGAUUAGACGAAUACAGAAAAAGUGGACUAGAGGAAUCCACAGUAGUAGAAGCACCAGUACUUGUGCUAGAAGCCAUAAUGAACCGGCUUAGACAAAUAACUUGUCAACAAACAGGAUACUACCAGAACAAGUGUACAAACACAGUAACCAACAAUAACCAACAGACAAACAACAAUUAAGUCAUGUAAUCACAGAUACCACCAGAUACUCGCAAUUACAAAGUCAGAUAAGCACACAUAAAUUGAGGAGAAGGACACAGGGUUACCCUCCAUCUUCACAAUCGGAGAAGAUCGGCCUUCAAACACAAAGAAACCCUAGGUUCCAAACCCUAGGUCUAAAUUUUGAAAAACAAAACUUUACCAGAGAGCUGGUGAGGAACGUCGGAAACACACCCAAACCGUCCAGAGAAUGACAAUCGGGCCACCGGAAUGCGGUAAAACCGUAGGUCAAACCGUCAGAAACCCUAGAAGCCGAUAAGUCAUCAAAAUCAACCGUCCAAAAUCAUCACAAAGUCUUUCCGGAGUGUGUAAUAGAGAAAAACACACUCGGAUACACUCAGAAAAGUCUCCGNNN
rnacentral:lncRNA from 1 species